rnacentral:rRNA from 1 species
UACGUAGGGCGCAAGCGUUAUCCGGAAUUAUUGGGCGUAAAGAGCUCGUAGGCGGUUUGUCGCGUCUGCCGUGAAAGUCCGGGGCUCAACUCCGGAUCUGCGGUGGGUACGGGCAGACUAGAGUGAUGUAGGGGAGACUGGAAUUCCUGGUGUAGCGGUGAAAUGCGUAGAUAUCGGGAGGAACACCUGUGGCGAAGGCGGCCCCCUGGUUGGAUACUGACGCUGAUACGCGAAAGCGUGGGGAGCAAACAGG